GAUGAACGCUGGCGGCGUGCCUAAUACAUGCAAGUCGAGCGAACAGACGAGGAGCUUGCUCCUCUGACGUUAGCGGCGGACGGGUGAGUAACACGUGGAUAACCUACCUAUAAGACUGGGAUAACUUCGGGAAACCGGAGCUAAUACCGGAUAAUAUAUUGAACCGCAUGGUUCAAUAGUGAAAGACGGUUUUGCUGUCACUUAUAGAUGGAUCCGCGCCGCAUUAGCUAGUUGGUAAGGUAACGGCUUACCAAGGCAACGAUGCGUAGCCGACCUGAGAGGGUGAUCGGCCACACUGGAACUGAGACACGGUCCAGACUCUUACGGGAGGCAGCAGUAGGGAAUCUUCCGCAAUGGGCGAAAGCCUGACGGAGCAACGCCGCGUGAGUGAUGAAGGUCUUCGGAUCGUAAAACUCUGUUAUUAGGGAAGAACAAAUGUGUAAGUACUAUGCACGUCUUGACGGUACCUAAUCAGAAAGCCACGGCUAACUACGUG
rnacentral:rRNA from 1 species